AUGGCAGGUAGAGGGGCCGCCGCCACCCCUCUCCUUGGGCGCCACCUCCUCCCCCAUCGGGUGGCUGCUCCUCGUUUCUUCCACUCCCGAGACGCCAACUCGAUGGCAGGCAGAGGGGCCGCCGCCACCCCUCUCCCUGGGCGCCACCUCCUCCCGCAUCGGGCGGCUGCUCCUCGGGACGCCAGAUCCGCGGGCUUGCCGCUGUUCAGCCGGAGAAGAACAAGAUGGAGUAGACGCUGGCCAGGAGGUCGCUGGGCUUGGCCCGGGCGAGAGCACAGGAGGAGAAAAGUGAAGGGAGGAGGCGGCACAGUGGAGACGAGGGGAGGAGGGGAGCGGGGCUCGAGAAGCGGAGGGAUUGGCUGCUCAGAGACGAACGGGAUUGGGGCUAGGUUUUCACUGCACACUACGACCCAGCCCCACGACUCUCACUUUCUCACCCAGGACGCACACGGGAUGCACCAAUACACUGCGCCCGUAGAAAUUUGA
rnacentral:rRNA from 1 species